rnacentral:rRNA from 1 species
GUAGGGAAUCUUCCACAAUGGACGAAAGUCUGAUGGAGCAACGCCGCGUGAGUGAAGAAGGGUUUCGGCUCGUAAAGCUCUGUUGGUAGUGAAGAAAGAUAGAGGUAGUAACUGGCCUUUAUUUGACGGUAAUUACUUAGAAAGUCACGGCUAACUACGUGCCAGCAGCCGCGGUAAUACGUAGGUGGCAAGCGUUGUCCGGAUUUAUUGGGCGUAAAGCGAGUGCAGGCGGUUCAAUAAGUCUGAUGUGAAAGCCCUCGGCUUAACCGAGGAACUGCAUCGGAAACUGUUUUUCUUGAGUGCAGAAGAGGAGAGUGGAACUCCAUGUGUAGCGGUGGAAUGCGUAGAUAUAUGGAAGAACACCAGUGGCGAAAGCGGCUCUCUGGUCUGUAACUGACGCUGAGGUUCGAAAGCGUGGGUAGCAAACAGG